rnacentral:sRNA from 1 species
GUUGCUCAGUCGUCGGCGCGCGCGGCUGGGAGCGGUAGCUGUGCCUCGGCGUCCCCGAGCUGGUGCCGAGCGCAGCGCCCCAGGAGCCCCCCCAUCCCCGCGCCGGCCCACGGUCACCCGCCAUGUCGACCUUGCUGGACAUUAAGAGCAGCGUGCUCAGGCAGGUGCAGGUGUGCCCGUCCUUCCGCCGCAGGACUGAGCAGGACCCAGGGAGUGCUAGCGCCGACCCGCAGGAGCCUGCCACGGGGGCCUGGAAACCCGGGGAUGGCGUGGAGUUCUUUGCCCACAUGCGCCUCAUGCUGAAGAAGGGGGAAGGCAGACAGGGCUUGCCGUGCCUCGAGGUCCCCCUGCGCAGUGGCUCGCCAGCACCCCUGGAGCCUGUGGAUCCCAGCCGCGGCCUGAGAGCCCUGGCCCCAGAGGAGGUAAAGGUGGGGGUGGGAACCAGGGGCAGUCGUCUGCAGCGGCCGCUCCCUCAGCCGUUUAUAGGCACCUACUGUGUGCACAGGGUCUGGUGAUGGCAGAGAGCCAGGGUGAGUGGGUGGGUGAGUGAGGAGCGGAGGGGCU